UACGUAGGGUGCAAGCGUUAAUCGGAAUUACUGGGCGUAAAGCGUGCGCAGGCGGUCUUGCAAGACAGAUGUGAAAUCCCCGGGCUCAACCUGGGAACUGCAUUUGUGACUGCAAGGCUGGAGUGCAGCAGAGGGGGAUGGAAUUCCGCGUGUAGCAGUGAAAUGCGUAGAUAUGCGGAGGAACACCGAUGGCGAAGGCAAUCCCCUGGGCCUGCACUGACGCUCAUGCACGAAAGCGUGGGGAGCAAACAGG
rnacentral:rRNA from 1 species